rnacentral:rRNA from 1 species
UGGGGAAUAUUGCACAAUGGAGGGAACUCUGAUGCAGCGACGCCGCGUGAGUGAUGAAGGAAUUCGUUUCGUAAAACUCUGUUCUAUGGGAAGAAAAGGACUGUACCAUAGGAGAAAGCUCCGGCUAAAUACGUGCGAGCAGCCGCGGUAAUACGUAUGGAGCGAGCGUUGUCCGGAAUUAUUGGGCGUAAAGGGUGCGCAGGCGGCUUUACAAGUUGGAUGUGAAAUAUUGUGGCUCAACCACAAACGUGCAUCCAAAACUGCAAAGCUUGAGUUAAGGAGAGGUAAGUGGAAUUCCUGGUGUAGCGGUGGAAUGCGUAGAUAUCAGGAGGAAUACCGGUGGCGAAGGCGACUUACUGGACUUAAACUGACGCUCAGGCACGAAAGCGUGGGGAGCAAACAGG